UUUUAUUGUAUAUUGGUUUGUUCAUCUUUCAUGUAUAUCGUUUAUUCUUUGUUAUGGUAUUAUAUCUUCAUUAUAUAUUGUUUUAUUGAUUUUUAUUAUUGAAUGUAUAUUAACACCUUUAAAUAUAUAGGUUUGGUUUUUAAAAUAUUCUUGCAUGUUAUUAACUCCAAAUUUCUUCUUUCAUAACGUUUUAUUUUAAUAUUCAAUUACAUAUUAUUAGUUUUCUUUUUAUAUAUGUAUAUCAUUUCAAAUCCAAUCAUGUGUUGUUCAUUUUGUAAAUUUUCAUAUAUUUAAUAGUUUUCAAAUUAUUUCCAAAUUGUUUUGUGUACUAUGUGUCGCUUUAGUUUUCAUGUUAUUAUAUGUAUUAUUGCUUUAUAUUGAUUAUUAGCCUUUUACACUAUUAUUUAAAUUAUGUUAAUUUGUUCUUUUGUUUACUUGUAUAAUAUUUCGUAUAGUAAUCCACGUUGGUAACUUUGAUUUUUUCUAUAUUGUUGUAUCGUGAUUCAAAUUUUAGUAUUUUGGUUGAUAUUAAUUGUUUCGUUGUUAUUUCAAGAAAAAUAAAAGCGUUUUGAGCAAAUUCUCAAUUUUCCUUAUCAUUCAAAAAUUCUGAAAUAAGGCAAUAUCCCAAAUUUGGGAAUUCGAGAAAUCGUGCUCAAUCGUGCUGGGUAUGAUUUUUCGGUGAACUAAAUAUUUGGGAUAACCUUUUAUAAUGUUAUUGUACGAGUUUUUUUUGAAAGUCAAAAAAUCGAUCGUAUUCUUGAAGGUAUAAAGGAUCGUAUCUAAUCGUGCUGGGUAUGAUGCUGCAUAUAUUUGAAACGAGAGAAUUUUGACAGCAAACUUGAACUAUUCACACAUUUUAAAGAAUCAUGCUUUGAAAGAUCUUUUUUCUUAAAAUCUUUGAUAUAAGGAUAGCAUCGAAUCAAUUUGGUACCAAUUUUUGGAUGUAAUGAGGGUGCUCAUCCUUCCUCAUACGUAACCGGCUCUCGAACCUAUUUUUAAAUUUUUUUGGACUAGAAUUGUUUUAAAAUGUUUUAUUAGGUGAUCCAAUCACACUUCAACAAAAGAUUGGUGGCGACUCCACAUUUUCGGUUUUAAAAAGUUGAUUCCCGUUUUUUUUCCAAAAAUAGCAAUGGUUUCGACAACAUGUAUUAUUGUUAUUUGUUAUUAUAUAGAUAUUUUAUAAUUAAAUAUUAAUUAAGUAAAUAAAAUGAAAUAAAGAAACAAAAGAAGAAGAAUAGAAAGUUACAGAGAAAGAAACGUGAAAGAGAGUAAGAAAGAAGAAAAGAAAAAGAAAAAGGGAAAAUUGAAGGUUAAUGACUUAAAGCUUGAUUGGUAAGUUGAUUUAGUUCUUUUUCUUGUGAUUUUUAUCUGUAUGGAAUUCCAAUUCAAAGUUCUACAUGUAUGAGGUUAAUAUGAAGAAAAAUAAUGAAUUUUUAGAUGUUUAUUUAGAUAAAUAAUUUGAGGAUUUAUGGGUUAAUUUGAUAGAAAUUUAAGUUAGAAGUGAAAAAUGAGUGAAUUGUUAAAAGAAUUUUAAGUUAGGUUUAAGUAAGGACUAAAUUGAAAGGAGCUCAAAAGUUAUUUUUUUGAUGAAUUUUAUGAGCUAGAAAUUAUUAAUGAGAUGAUUAAAUGAAAAUAUGAAGAUUAAGUUCAAGAAAAAGAUUGGUUAUGGAAAAAGGACGAAAUUGGAAUUUUUGUAAAAGUUUGAUAGAAAGUGGAAAUGUGAGUUAUGAAUUAGUGUAUUGAUAAAUUUUAAUUGUAUAAUUGUUCGUAGCUAACGUAGCACCGGAAUCGUCAUUGAAUAAGAAGGGAAAGGAAAAAGUGAUCGAGGAGUAGCUCGAGAAAAUAUCGGUUUGUAUUAUCAUAAUUCAAGUUUAAUUUUAAUAUAUGUGUAUGGAAUUUGAAUGUGAGGUAAGUAGUGAUAUUUGAAUUGAAUGAAAAUUGGAUUUGAUUGAUGAAUGUAUACAUGUGUGAAAUUGAAUUGUAUAAUGAGUUGUGGAGAAUUUGAAAUUGUGAUUGAAUUGUUAUUGCAGUGGACUUGAAUUCGAAUGAUUACGAUCAACUGAAAGUGAAAGUGAUAUGAAUAUGUGAUUUUGAUACCCUAUUAACUAGUCGGGCUAGGGUGGAUAUAGUUGGCAUGUCAUAGGAUAGGAAGAGUUCAGGGAUUCUUCGACCUUGAGUCGAUGAGACACUUGGUGUGUCAUAUUUACUUUGGAUAGAUUCGAUGAGGCGUUGGUUGCCAUACUGGUGUGUUUGGUUGGAUCCAUGUAUCCGCCAAAGUCCGAGUCAUGUUAAUAGGGGAAAAUAAGUGAAAUAAUAAAAUUAAAUGAAUUUGGUUAAUUGAGCUAUUGAAUGAAAUGAGAAAGUGAUAUUGUAUGAUGGAAUGUGAGAUGAAAUUUGUAAAGUGAUUGAAGGCAUGAACCAAAGGUUUAUGAAGUGUUUAUAUUUGAAAUGUGAAUUGAAUAAUUAUAAGUGGUUGAGAGAUGAAUCAAAGGUUCAUGAGUUAUUUGAAAUCUCAUUGAUGAUUUAUUGGAUCUAUCAUUGGAAAUGAUAUAAUGGAAAUAUGAUAGUUUAGUAUGAAUUUAUAUGUAUGAUUUUUAUGAAUGAUUUGCUAAUUAUCUAUGUAUAUUAUGAUAUUUUAUUGUUGUUAUAAUUUGAAUUAUGAUAAUAGCACUGAGUAUUUCCAAUACUCAGUGUAAGGUUGUUUUCCAUCCGUAGGUUAGGUAAAGUUGAAGUUCAGUCAAGCAUCCGAGUCAAUCUCGACCUCAGCUCAAUUUUGGUGAUGCAUCUAUCUUUUAGAAAUGUGGCAUGUACUAGGUUUGGUGUUUGUCACUUGUAAAUGUUUUAUAUUUUGAAUGUAAAUGUGGUGCAUAAUCCUUAAGAGGUAAUGAAAUGA
rnacentral:lncRNA from 1 species